UUGAUUAUUUGUUUUCUUCUCAGACGCCAGUACGCAGGUUUUUGGUCUCCGGCCGACGCUCCGCAGAGGCCGGCCGAAGCAACUGUAGCUUUUAGGCAAAAGGGUGGAGGUAGAUCGUUGGACGAUCGCACUCGGUAAUGAUCCUUCCGCAGGUUCACCUACGGAAA
rnacentral:misc_RNA from 1 species